rnacentral:lncRNA from 1 species
CUGCCAAACGCUUUGCCAUGCCUGAGAAGGAGGCUGAGCAUAAACACCGCUAGGAUCCAUCGCCGGUCUUCCGAUCAUCAUCCCUCCAGGAACCGCCGGUUGUCCCAUCGGUGGAUAAUAAUAAGGAACACCGCUCGCGGCUGGAGCAACCAUACCUCCUCCACCAAGAGCCGCCGCCGCUGCAUCUUCCUCUUCCUUGAUCUCUUCCCUAGGAACAAUAUCAACAAGGAAAUCGAAGAUAUCGGUUCUAGUAAUCGCAGCAGCGAUAUCGUUUUUCUGAAGCGUACGACGUUUGUUCUCUUCAGCGUGAAGCCAAGAUCUAAUCGUAAGCUCGAGAAUGAAAAGCUCACAAGCUUUGGCGAAGAGAAUCGGUGCUUCGGCGGAGAUCAUACGCACAUCUUCAUCAGCUUUCAUGAUUUUUUUUAUCCGAGCUAGAGGAAGCUGAUGGUUUUUGAAAUCGUUUACCUGUUCGAUCUCUUGUCUCUGGUAUUUCCAGAACAUUUGAAGCUGUUGUUGUUGUUGCUGGUGGAGGUGGUGGUACGUCGCUCCUCCUCCGGUCACUAUUGAUGUAGAUCCAGAUGCAGGAGGAGGGAUUACGGUUGUGACGGCGGAGCCAGGUGGAUAGACGGAGGUUGGUGGUGGUGGUUGGUUGUUGUUGUUGUUAUUGUCCAUUGGAUCUAUGCGUU